UACCUGCAGCUCAAGUGGUGACCACUAUUAUUGGGCCUAAAACGUUCGUAGCCGGUUUGGUAAAUGUCUGGGUAAAUCGUGUAGCUUAACUAUACGAAUUCCGGGUAGACUGCCAAACUUGAGACCGGGAGAAGCUAGAGGUACUCCUGGGGUAGAGGUGAAAUUCUGUAAUCCUGGGGGGACCACCAGUGGCGAAGGCGUCUAGCUAGAACGGGUUUGACGGUGAGGAACGAAGCCCUGGGGCGCAAACCGGAUUAGAUACCCGGGUAGUCCAGGGUGUAAACGCUGCUUGCUUGAUGUUAGUUGGGCUCCGAGCCCAAUUAGUGUCGGAGAGAAGUUGUUAAGCAAGCUGCCUGGGAAGUACGAUCGCAAGAUUGAAACUUAAAGGAAUUGGCGGGGGAGCACAGCAACGGGUGGAGCGUGCGGUUU
rnacentral:rRNA from 1 species